CGAGUUGGCUGGGCGGCCGCGGCUCGGGCUCUUGCAGCGCCGAGUCGAGGAAAGUCCGGACUUCACAGAGCAGGGUGAUUGCUAACGGCAAUCCGAGGCGACUCGCGGGAAAGUGCCACAGAGAACAAACCGCCACCCUCGCGGUGGUAAGGGUGAAACGGUGCGGUAAGAGCGCACCAGCAUUCCGGGUGACCGGGGUGGCUAGGCAAACCCCACCCGAAGCAAGGUCAAGAAGACCGCAUUUCGGUGCGGUCGCGCAGGUGUCUGAGGGCGGCUCGCCCGAGCCUGCGGGUAGACCGCUCGAGGCACCCGGCAACGGUGUGUCCAGAUGGAUGGUCGCCGCCGCGUCCCCGACGCGGAACAGAAUCCGGCUUACAGGCCAACUCGCCCG
rnacentral:RNase_P_RNA from 1 species